UACGUAGGAGGCGAGCGUUGUCCGGAAUCACUGGGUGUAAAGCGCGUGUAGGCGGCCUGCCAAGUCUGCUGUGAAAGCGCCGGGCUUAACCGGGCGAGGUCGGUGGAAACUGGCGGGCUGGAGGUCGGUAGAGGGGGGUGGAAUUCCCGGUGUAGUGGUGAAAUGCGUAGAGAUCGGGAGGAACACCAGUGGCGAAGGCGGCCCCCUGGGCCGGGCCUGACGCUGAGACGCGAAAGCGCGGGGAGCGAACGGG
rnacentral:rRNA from 1 species